UACUGAGUAUCCUUCAAAAUGGUGCUGAAUAAAAAAAAGGCAAGCUGAUGCUUGUUCGGACAGUGAACAUCAUGGAAGUUUUGAGCAGUUGAAAGCAGUAACUCACUUGGAGCUAUCAACAUACUAGAUACUGCACAGCCUAUAAAGCAAGGUUUUUGCUUCUGAAGGGUUUGAAGAUCUCUGAGGACCCCAGGACUGCAUAAUUUACACAGGAUAUCUCUACUCAGAUACAGCAUCAGGAUUUCAGGGAGAUUCAGCUUUUUCAGUUUUCCAGUUGAGCUGGCUGAAGCACGAGGCGAUCAAGUGCCCUGCACUGUCAUACAAUGAAUCAAGAGUUUUUCCAGGAUUCUGCUGCCUCGUACUCAGGGACCAGAAGUGCUUGGGCAUUUCUAAUUGUUAAAAAGAUAGGAAACUGUCCAAGUAACCACUUGCCAAAACUUUGAAUUCUACUCUGCUAGAGGAAUAUAAUGUUUUAAAAGAUUAUUUUCAGAGGUAGGACUGUUGCUGUCUUAUGUGGAAUAUUAAAAUAAAGAAAAGACACAACAUAUAAAGUCAGAAACAGGAGCCAGAAGGUGACUUCAGUUAAAUACUCUGUGGUAAACAGCUAAAGAUUGCACUGAAAUCACAACUCAUUAAGACUGAAUUUUUACUUCAACAUUGUAGAGUUAAAGUAAAUGCUCAGUGUUACAGCGUGAAGCUGUGAAACCAGCGUCACUGAAGCUAAAAGACAACCAGCUGAGGCUGAAAGCUCAACAAUGAUGACCAGAGUUAGAAAGCAACAGUGAAAGCAAAAAUAGUGGCAGUGUGAGUGAAUCUGCAGCAGCAAUGAUGUGAGACUCCAAAAGAGAGAAAAAAAAUCAGAAAAAAAUUCCCAGUUCAGUCAGUUACAGAUCUGCUCUAAAAUUCUCCAUUGCAAAGGAGACAGUUCAAACUCAUUCGUGAAACUAUUCUUCCUCAUGAUAAGAAAAAUAGUUUAAAAAUACAGUCAGAAAUGAAAAUAGGAACUCUGUUACAGGGUGGUUGUCUGCCAAAUGGCUUUUUAGUGUUUUUUUCUCAGAAGCAAGCAGGUAAGAGAAAUGGCAAAGAACUACUUUAAGUGCAGUAUUGCAUGAGAUAAGCAAAUAAAUUCCAUUUAUGAAGCAGUCUAAAACCUUUGCAGAGACUAAUGCUUCCCUGAAAGGCUCUGAUACGUUGCUCUCAAAUCUUGUUUUUUUCCCCUGACUCAGUUAAGCUAAGAACAAAAGCACAGCUGUAAACCUAGAUGAGGGAUCCGAUAAAACAAAGUUAUGAUUAGACAAUGCUACAUUAGGAGGUUUCUUAAUAGGAUAAAAAUAUAUUUGCAACCUGAUUUUGGUUUUUUUCAGCCCUUCCUGUUCCAGCUUACUCUGUUCAUUCAUUUUUAUGCUUUUUUAACUUUUGAAAGCAGAGAAAUAAAUGAUUCUCUCCUUGACAUUAUUUCCAUUUCUUCUUCCUACUUAGAAUCUAAUAAGUAGCACAAGAGAUUUCCAGUCUCUUAUGCUCUUUGCAUCCCUUCAUGAAUGUGAAUUUUAACAAAAUUUUUAGAAAAUAAUUUUUAGUCUUUCAGUUGACAACACCUCACAGAUUCCUUGGUUUUUUUAAUGUAAUUCAAAUCUAAAUUGGCCUGAUUAAUAGUAUUUGUACCUUGAUUAAUGAAUAUUUUGUCAAGUCCAAUAAUAAGCUUCUGGAAUGUUUUUGUUACGGUUUUCGUAUUGCACGCUUGAGUUUAAUAAGAAGUUUUUUUAUUAGAAAAUACAUUUUACAGAAUUUUCUAGAGAAAUUAAGAUCUAGUCUGUGAACUCUGCAUUUAAAGAUACUUGCUGGUUUCCAAAGCACCAGUCUUCACUUAGUUCUGGUACCUUUCAAAUCAGUGUUUAAAUUAAUGUUACAGUUUCAUUAGCUGCAGGAUUAGGUCUGAUGUGAACAUUUGAAGAAAUCAUAUCUAAGGACCAAGUUUUUCACCCUGUGGCUUUAAUGGGAACCUGAUAGAGCCCAAAGAUGAUGUAAGGGGAAACAAGUCUGCAGAUAGAUUGUAUUACUCUUAAUAUCCAUUUGAUAAGGUUUGUUAUAAGUAUGUGAUGAGCGAACUGAAUAAAUAGAAACUUUUAUAAGUCCUAAAGGCCAUUUUAAAAUAUUUUGCCGAAACAAAAUAUUAUCUGAAGCUCCAAAUGACUUGUACACGUGCCUACUAGUUUUAUUAUGGUUUUCCUUUUAUUUUUCAUCUUCAGUCUUAUCCAUCAAAAUAACACACAAGUAAUAGACAAGGUCAAAAUAGUAAGGAUUUGAAAAUAAGAGGAAAUAAACUCUGAUAAGUGGCAGCUACCUAUUUCAUUGCCGCUGUAGUGAUCAUGGACCGCUAGAUCACAUGCACUCAGGGUUUUUGGUUGUUUCCACUGCCCAAAGAAACAAGAUCACAACAGUAUAAUCUUUGUAUUUCCUUACUUUCUUCCCUAAUUCGGUAAGACGUGGGCAUGAGUUGAACUUAAUUUUUGUUAUCUGUAUUUAGAAUCAGUAAUGCCUAUUAGAUAGCAGCACAGUACAGUAGCGUGGUUCCAAUAGGAUUCCCUUUGAAACUUUACCCUUAGUGAGAAUUCGAUUAAGCUGAAAUCCAGAGAACUUUGCACUAUUUAAUAUGUUCAAUUUUUAAUUGUUUAGUACAUUUCCUUUAUCUACAUAGUAGGGUUAUAUGUUGGUGGUGUAUUUUCUUUUAUUUACUUGUAUUU